UACGGGGGGGGUAAGCGUUGUUCGGAAUUACUGGGCGUAAAGGGCGCGUAGGCGGCCUGCUAAGUCGGAUGUGAAAUCCCUCGGCUCAACCGAGGAACUGCAUCCGAUACUGGCGGGCUUGAAUCCGGGAGAGGGAUGUGGAAUUCCAGGUGUAGCGGUGAAAUGCGCAGAUAUUGGGAAGAACACCAGUGGCGAAGGCGGUUCUCUGGGACGGUACUGACGCUGAGACGCGAAAGCGUGGGGAGCGAACAGG
rnacentral:rRNA from 1 species